UACGGGGGGGGCAAGCGUUGUUCGGAAUUACUGGGCGUAAAGGGCUCGUAGGUGGCCAACUAAGUCAGACGUGAAAUCCCUCAGCUUAACUGGGGAACUGCGUCUGAUACUGGAUGGCUUGAGUUUGGGAGAGGGAUGCGGAAUUCCCCAAGUAGAGGUGAAAUUCGUAGAUAUGGGGAGGAACACCGGUGGCGAAGGCGGCCACCUGGACGGUAACUGACGCUGAGACGCGAAAGCGUGGGGAGCAAACAGG
rnacentral:rRNA from 1 species